UUCAGGUAAACUUCACAGUAGAAAGUUCACUCAGAUGUCCUUCAGGAAAGAGGUUUACAGGCAGGACAAAACCUCCAGCAGAAGGGAACCUUUGAGCCAGCUGCAUAAAAUAGAAAAAUAUUGCUAUGCAUUUUCAACUGAAGUCUAUACUUCAAAAUGAGAAGGUCAGUAGGAGUCUAUUCAGAGGCAUAUGGAUCAGGAAUUCUCAGUCUUUUAGUGAUUUUUUGUGUCAGCAAAGAGCUGGUUAUAAGACAUUGGCCCCACCUUGUUUCUAUGUCAAAACUGUAUUAAAAGAUGCAUGUAAAUACAUUAAGUGCUUUCCUAAAAUUAAUUUCCCUUGAAAGCCAUUGCAUGACUGUAACAGCAUUGUGCAGUCACUGAGGAACUUGCUACUGUUUGUUUAUGACACAUCUACAGGGGAAUUGGUAACAGCUAAGCUCACUUAACUAAGAGGUUAAAACAGCAAGCAAAACAAGGAGUUGGGCUUGAUGAUGCUGAUGAGUCCCUUACAACGCUGCAUAUUCUGUGAUUCUAUGAAAGCAUAGAGAAUAACUGCAGUGGACAACAAAUUAGUUUCUGAAUGUUACUAGCAUUUAACUAACACCUACACCUGGUAAGGCAAAGCUAUAGGGAUUGUGAGACAAGUCAUGAGACAUGAGGCUGAACAUUCACAUAAGCCUUGACAGUCACCAGGAGAAGAGAGGUUGUGAGAGACGACAUUUGGGGAGUUCAGCACCAGCUUCCAGCUUCACAUCCACUGAAUGAUGAGAGCUUUGAUGAAGAUUAAAGGGAUGACACUGAUGAAGGCUGUUACCUGGCUUUUCAGUAACUAUGUGGAAGCUGGAAGACCUAAGGCAUUUCUAAGACUGCAAAGCUACCAAGUCUGCAUAUUGUGACCAUGGGGCAAUACAGGAUGGCUCAUUCAGGACAGUUCAGCAAAUCCCAGUAUUAUGAACACAUGAAGGACGUGACCAAAGGACUCAUGGAUGUUAACAGUGAUGAGAUAACUGCCUAUACUUGUGAUUGUGACUGAUAUUUGGCUUGUCAGGAUGCCAAAGGAUGAGUGGAAUAAAUUGAAAUGGAUCAAGAACCUGUGCAAUAGGAUAUUCCAGAGUGAUAAUACUGCCAGGGUUUCAUCGUUAUUCCUGGGGUUGUUUUGAAGCCAAGCUUAUUGCUGAUUCUUCUCCACAUGGACUGAAGAAGUUCAGGGCUUCUUUCUUGAGAAAGUCAAGGAGCUAGACUUCAAAUGGGUUUUUGGGAACAAGGCAUUUUUAAAACACUGGGAAUUUUAAUGGAAGAAAAGUAGGGCUUUGAGAUGUAAUUGCUGUGACUUUAGGUCAUAGAGUGCAAGUCAAUAACAUGAACAGUCCUAGUUAUAGGAACAUAGGCAUAGUGUGUGAAGGAUGAAUCACUGAUAAUUGGUGCAACAUCCCAACAUGCACUAAAGGAAAAGGAUUAAAAGGUAAUUUG